rnacentral:lncRNA from 1 species
GGGGAGGUGGGUUGGAUGAUAUGCUUAGAGAGGGUAACUCAUUCUCAGCUUGCUUGGUUUCACCUUUGCCCUAGGCGUUUGUCUGAGGCCUCCUCCGUGCUCCAGUCUACCUGUGUGACGCAGGCUCUGAAGCUUGAAAUUGGCCACAGAGGGAGUAUUUACACCAUGGACAUUGCAAAUGCUAUAGUUCCAGAUCUGUAACCGAGGGAAGCACUGGGCACUCCAUCUUCCCCAGCUCACUCGGUCUUGCUCUUCAUCUCAGGAGCCUCACAGGACCAAAGGCUGAGAUAAUCCUAACUGUAUCACGCUGCCUCCUCUCCUUGUUUAUUUAAAAUAAUUAGGGGCACAGUUAGAGAGUAAGAUAGUACUAUGAGGAUUAGACAAGAAGUGACAGUCACCUGCCUGCCUCCUGACACCCUCCAAUGACCUAUCAUUCCUCAGAGGUAACCAGUUACACUUCUCUACUUCUUGAGAUGCUUACUUGUAUAUUUUGAUAACAUGCUUAUAUAGCAAUUUUUUCCCAUUUUCCAUUUUAUCUAUUGUUUGCCUACUAUAGAUUUAGAGAGUAUUCCAAUAACUUGAAAGUGAAAGUCACUCAGUCAUGUCUGACUCUUUGUGACCCUAUGGACUAUACAGCCCAUGGAAUUCUCCAGACCAGAACACUGCAGUGGGUAGCCUUUCCCUUCUCUAGGGGAUCUUCCCAACCCAGGGAUCAAACCCAGGUCUCCUGCACUGCAGGCAGCUUCUUUACCAGCUGAGCUGUCAGGGAAGCCCAUUACUAUAUCCUAGCGUCUCCAGUUCCUUUCCAUACAGUCGACUGAUGUAGUUAUACACCAGUUUUAGUUAGAUCAACAUUGGGGUUUUGUGUGUGUGUGAUUAACAGGUCUUUUGUUGGUAGUAAACUAGAGCAAACAAUCAGAAUUGUGUAUGUGUGGUAUUCAGUACACAUAAUAAAAUUAAAGAAAUUAAAAACUUGUAUAAAACAAAACACUGGAGAAAAAAUAUCAUACAGCUCAAGAGAUACUCAAGUGUGAAAGUCCUCUUCAUCCUUCACAGCUUGUGCUCUGUACCCAAUAGAACUUGUCACACUCACCAAAAUAAUACAG